AGCCACUGGAGGCUGAGGCGCGCGCGUGGCUCCAUCUCACCCAGAGACUCAGAGCCCAGCCGGUUCGAUCAUCUCCUCAGCCCCGCCUUGAGGAGCAGGGAUUAAAGACUCUGACGGCCAGGGGACAGGCGAUGCUACUGAAGAAGAGGAAGCGCCCAGGUGCUGCAGCCGCUCGGAGGACUCCACUGCACUGGGAGAGGCCGUGAGACAGGAGGGUUGGUAGCACUGUCCUUCCAGCCAUGGAGCCAGGGCUGAGUGGGGCACCCAAUGGGUGCCGGACCAGCAGGACAAGCCCCAGGUGCCCGGGUCCCCCCACACAGCCAGGGCUGCUCAGGCAGAGGCCGCCCGGAGCUGCCCCCAGCAGGCCUAGGCAUCUACCACCAAGCGGGCUGUGGCCAGCACACGGCGGGCGGGCAGCGGGCAGGGGCACUCGGGAGUGUAAAUUCCACAUUUGCAUCUGGCCGUUCCCAGGCGAGGGCCACUGACCUUUCCAGCGCUGCCUCCGGCCUCCUCUCUCCCCGCCCUCCUGGCUCAGCCGGGCAGGGGCAGCCACAGACAGCUGGGGCCUGGGAGCGGGCUGGGGUGCACCCUGGCUCACCCCUCGGCCACUCGCUGUGCCCUGACCCAGCACCCAAGUCACAGCCUGACGCAGGGACAGCUGGGCCUGGAUUAGCAGCGUCACUGACACAUCGGCCGCCCCCACCCUCAGAGAUGCCUCCCGGGGACGCCAUGUGGGUGCUGAGUGGCACUGUCACUG
rnacentral:lncRNA from 1 species